AAAUUGAAGAGUUUGAUCAUGGCUCAGAUUGAACGCUGGCGGCAGGCCUAACACAUGCAAGUCGAACGGUAACAGGAAGAAGCUUGCUUCUUUGCUGACGAGUGGCGGACGGGUGAGUAAUGUCUGGGAAACUACCUGAUGGAGGGGGAUAACUACUGGAAACGGUAGCUAAUACCGCAUAACGUCGCAAGACCAAAGAGGGGGACCUUCGGGCCUCUUGCCAUCGGAUGUG
rnacentral:rRNA from 1 species